rnacentral:rRNA from 1 species
AGGACGAACGCUGGCGGCGUGCUUAACACAUGCAAGUCGAACGGAAAGGCCCUUUCGGGGGUGCUCGAGUGGCGAACGGGUGAGUAACACGUGGGUGAUCUGCCCUGCACUUUGGGAUAAGCCUGGGAAACUGGGUCUAAUACCGAAUACACCUUGCUGGCUGCAUGGCUGGUGGGGGAAAGCUUUUGCGGUGUGGGAUGGGCCCGCGGCCUAUCAGCUUGUUGGUGGGGUGAUGGCCUACCAAGGCGACGACGGGUAGCCGGCCUGAGAGGGUGUCCGGCCACACUGGGACUGAGAUACGGCCCAGACUCCUACGGGAGGCAGCAGUGGGGAAUAUUGCACAAUGGGCGAAAGCCUGAUGCAGCAACGCCGCGUGAGGGACGAAGGCUUUCUGAGUUGUAAACCUCUUUCAGCAGGGACGAUUGUGACGGUACCUGCAGAGAAGCCCGGCAACUCGCGCCAGCAGCCGCGGUAA